rnacentral:rRNA from 1 species
UAAAAGAAUUAAUUUUUAGUACACCCUGCUCAAUGAACCUUAAAUAGCCGCAAAAUUUGUGCUAAGGUAGCAUAAUCAUUUGCCUAAUAAUUAUAGGAUAGGAUGAAGGGGCUAACAUGUAAUCUCCUCUAUCAAGAAGAAUAUUUUAACUUACAAAGUAAGCAAGAACACUUACUAAAUCAGGGGGACGAUAAGACCCUGUCAAACUUUACCCAUUGAGGUUCAGCUGGGGCGGCAGAAAAUUAAAACUUUAUUCAAAAUUAUUUAUCAGAGCCUGAACGACAGACAAAACAAGUUACUGCAGGGAUAACAGCACAAUCGUCUUUUAAAGACCUUAUAAAAAAGACGGCUUGUGACCUCGAUGUUGAAUUAAAGAUCUCUUUGAGGUAGCCCUCAAAGAAGAAAGUCUGUUCGACUUUUAAACCAUU